GACGAACGCUGGCGGCGUGCUUAACACAUGCAAGUCGAACGAAGUGGCGAACGGGUGAGUAACGCGUAAUCAACCUGCCCUUCAGCGGGGGACCACAGUUGGAAACGACUGCUAAUACCGCAUACUGAAGGCGGUGAUUGCGUCUGAUUAGCAAGUUGGAGGGGUAACGGCCCACCAAGGCGAUGAUCAGUAGCCGGUCUGAGAGGAUGACCAGCCACACUGGAACUGAGACACGGUCCAGACUCCUACGGGAGGCAGCAGUGGGGAAUAUUGCACAAUGGGCGCAAGCCUGACGGAGCAACGCCGCGUGAGUGAUGACGGCCUUCGGGUUGUAAAGCUCUGUUAAUCGGGACGCGGUACCGGAAUAGAAAGCCACGGCUAACUACGUGCCAGCAGCCGCGGUAAUUC
rnacentral:rRNA from 1 species